rnacentral:rRNA from 1 species
GAUGAACGCUGGCGGCGUGCUUAACACAUGCAAGUCGAACGGAAAGGCCCAAGCUUGCUUGGGUACUCGAGUGGCGAACGGGUGAGUAACACGUGGGUGAUCUGCCCUGCACUUCGGGAUAAGCCUGGGAAACUGGGUCUAAUACCGGAUAGGACGAUGUUUUGGAUGCCAUUGUGGAAAGUUUUUUCGGUGUGGGAUGAGCUCGCGGCCUAUCAGCUUGUUGGUGGGGUAAUGGCCUACCAAGGCGUCGACGGGUAGCCGGCCUGAGAGGGUGUACGGCCACAUUGGGACUGAGAUACGGCCCAGACUCCUACGGGAGGCAGCAGUGGGGAAUAUUGCACAAUGGGCGCAAGCCUGAUGCAGCGACGCCGCGUGGGGGAUGAUGGCCUUCGGGUUGUAAACUCCUUUCGCUAGGGACGAAGCGUUUUUGUGACGGUACCUGGAGAAGAAGCACCGGCUAACUACGUG